GACAGGAAAGCGGAGGGGAGGGGGGAAGACAUGACAGAAAUGGUCGCAGUUCAGAUUUGAACCCUGCAGCUCUGCAUCAAGGUAUAAACCUUGAAGCAU